GUGCUUGCCUGGGCAGUACACCCUCUAAAAUUAGAAUGAUACAGAAAAGGUUGUCAUGGCACCUGCACAAGAAUGAUCUACAAACUAAUGAGGCCACCCAUAUGGGG
ensembl:snRNA U6 U6 spliceosomal RNA